rnacentral:tRNA from 1 species
GCGCCUGUAGCUCAGUUGGAUUAGAGUGCCAGAUUACGGAUCUGGAGGUCGAGGGUUCGAAUCCUUCCAGGCGCGCAA